GGGGACGGUUUGCUGAGGAGGGAGUUGGGUUAUUUUCUGACCUUUGCCUUCUUGGGAAUUUUUCCCUCACUCUUUGACUUAUGGAGAAAACCUCAUUGUGAAAGGAUCUUUCUCUGUGUUGUAAAUACUGAAACAGUCCAGAAGCCACUGCCUCCUCAAGGUUUCUGGAAACUAGGAGUGGGUUUUUCCUCUCCUCGGUCACAGAAAUUUAUUCGAGUUCAUGGACAGAUGGAGAAUGUUGCCAAGCCAUUACUCUGUACAGUGACCUCCCAAAUGGAAUCCCUUCAGUGACCAUACAGUGAAUUACUCACCUCUUCACAUCAAGAUACAUGCUUCAGGAAAGAGCAAAGGUAACUUGGGAUGCAAAAGUUGACAGCUGUCUCCCGGGAGACCAUCAGUACUGGAAAUGAGGGCAUUGGGCUUCAACUGGAAAUGUUUCCCUUGGCACAGACCCAGGCUGGAAGAAUGGCGCCCGGUGAGAGGUCACGCCCGAGGAUGUGAGUGAAUACAUGCAUGCAUUUUGAAGAAAUGAGGGCCUCAGAACU
rnacentral:lncRNA from 1 species